rnacentral:rRNA from 1 species
AGUCUGGGAUUCCUGAAUGGGGAAACCCACUUACAUAAGUAAGUAUCCUGUUGUGAAUACAUAGCAACAGGAGGCAAACCGGGGGAACUGAAACAUCUAAGUACCCCGAGGAAGAGAAAUCAACCGAGAUUCCGAAAGUAGCGGCGAGCGAAAUUGGAUUAGCCCUUAAGCUUUUAAUGAGACAGAUGAAGGCUCUGGAAAGUGCCGCAAUAAAGGGUGAUAGCCCCGUAAUCGACAUCUCAUCAUCAGUGAAAACGAGUAGGGCGGGACACGUGAUAUCCUGUCUGAAUAUGGGGGGACCAUCCUCCAAGGCUAAAUACUACUGACUGACCGAUAGUGAACCAGUACCGUGAGGGAAAGGCGAAAAGAACCCCUGUGAGGGGAGUGAAAUAGAACCUGAAACCGUGUACGUACAAGCAGUAGGAGCACCUUCGUGGUGUGACUGCGUACCUUUUGUAUAAUGGGUCAGCGACUUAAUUUUAGUAGCAAGGUUAACCGUUUAGGGGAGCCGUAGGGAAACCGAGUCUUAACUGGGCGUACAGUUGCUAGGAUUAGACCCGAAACCAGGUGAUCUAGCCAUGGGCAGGUUGAAGGUUGAGUAACAUCAACUGGAGGACCGAACCGACUAAUGUUGAAAAAUUAGCGGAUGACUUGUGGCUAGGGGUGAAAGGCCAAUCAAACCUGGAGAUAGCUGGUUCUCCCCGAAAGCUAUUUAGGUAGCGCCUCGGACGAAUACUACUGGGGGUAGAGCACUGUUAAGGCUAGGGGGUCAUCCCGACUUACCAACCCUUUGCAAACUCCGAAUACCAGUAAGUACUAUCCGGGAGACACACGGCGGGUGCUAACGUCCGUCGUGGAGAGGGAAACAACCCAGACCGCCAGCUAAGGUCCCAAAGUAUAGCUAAGUGGGAAACGAUGUGGGAAGGCUCAGACAGCCAGGAUGUUGGCUUAGAAGCAGCCAUCAUUUAAAGAAAGCGUAAUAGCUCACUGGUCGAGUCGGCCUGCGCGGAAGAUGUAACGGGGCUAAGCUAUACACCGAAGCUGCGGCUACGUACCUUAGGGUAUGUGGGGUAGGGGAGCGUUCUGUAAGCCGUUGAAGGUGGUCUGUAAGGGCUGCUGGAGGUAUCAGAAGUGCGAAUGCUGACAUGAGUAACGAUAAAGGGAGUGAAAAACUCCCUCGCCGGAAGACCAAGGGUUCCUGUCCAACGUUAAUCGGGGCAGGGUAAGUCGACUCCUAAGGCGAGGCCGAAAGGCGUAGUCGAUGGGAAACAGG